rnacentral:tRNA from 1 species
UGCCCCAUGGCUGAGUUGGUUACAGCGUCCGACUGUUACUUUAAGUGACUAUCGGAAGGUCGUGAGUUCGAGCCUCACUGGGGCAG